rnacentral:lncRNA from 1 species
GUGGAGCUUGCCAAGGCCAUGGAAUCAGAAGACGGUGUAACGGGUGCAGUCAGGGCAUUCCUCAAACACCUGCCCUGUAAAACGGAUGAAAAUACACCCCGACCUACGCACGGCUUUCUAGAGUUCCUAGGCCUAGUAAGUAAAUGUUUGGUGUGCCGUUAGGUGCUGGUCAGAUGCAGCUAUACCACUCCUCCAUGCUGAAAGAUGAGUGUAAAAAAGCCUCUUGGGUGACCGCUAUGCCAUUGUGUGCGAUAAGAAUGUGGAAGCCAAAUGUUAGAAGUUGAUGUACAUGCAUGCGACCAGGAUCCUGUGAUUUAUCGUUUUGCGUUUUUUGUAUGUGUGUUGUGUAAAGAGUACUUGUCUGGUGAUUUGAUACAUAAUUUUGGUGUGGUUGCAACCUUGGUCUGCAGCAACUGAUGAUCUCACAUGUAUGACCAGACAACCUAUGUAUAUGGAAAACUUCAGAGUGCAGAUUAGUUCAGUUAAUCCUUUUGUAGUUUACGACAUGGUUUAAUUUGGAACGGCCAGACAUGUCAUGGUUAUAAUUAUGUUUCAAGUUUUUCCUUGUUCUACUACAGGUCUUCAGGUUAAGAUAAAGUAGAGACCUGUGACCUCAUGCACAGGGGAAAGUAAUUCUGUCACCCCAGUACUUUUUUUCUCAGUUUCCAAAAAUGUGAAAUAAUUCAUGGUUGUAAAUUAGGCUAUAUCAUAUGCAUUUGCAAAAACUUUGAAAAAUAUGAAUUUUGUGACUUGUACAGAAAAUACAACUCUAUGGAUAUAUUACUUGAGGUUUGUUCAUUUAUAUACCUAUUUUUCUUGUCUAAGUCGCAAAUUGAUCAUAUUUUUGUAGAAAUUUGAGUUUUAUAAGCUCAUGGUGAGAGGUGAACUGGAGAACGAGCUUUUCACUUCCAACCGUAUUUUGCAUCUGAUAGGUGCAUAUUAUGUGUAUUUGUUCCAGGCUUCUUCUUUUUCCAGCAAAGAAAACAUAUAAAAUGUCCCCAGUUGAAACCCAUCAUUAUCAGGCAAAGGGCUCUAUUAACAUGGAAAGAUCCUCAAAAGAUCUUGCUGAGACAUCUAUAGCGUACACAACCAAAUUAUUACAGUGAGCCAAACAGAUUGACUUAUUGAAAAGGAAAAAGAUGGCAGCGGAAAAGAUAGCAAGUUAUCAACAUAUUGCCAUGCCGUGGUCAAAGCAAUGAGCUUCAACUUCAUCGACUGCCUUUUUUGCCUUAAUAAUGUAUAUAAGGUCAUUGCUUCAGUUGUCCAUAGAGAAAAAUGCCUCUUUUACUUUAGUUACUUCACCGUAGACAUCAUGCAUCGCUGGGCGAUCCUUCGGUGAUUCCGCUGAGCAUAAUAAGCCAAGUCUAAGGAGCCGGAGAGCACAUAUAUCCUUCAGUGCAAAUGUGUUGUGUUCUUGCAAGUUCUGGGUAUGAUCGACACACUGAUCCCCCGUCUCUGAAGUAAGAUCGGGGUGAAGAAUGUCUUGUGUUCGUGAAAGCGAUGCAUUUACGUACUUGCGGAGCGUCAAGCCAUCAUUGAACUCUUCAUUAGUAGUGUCCUACAACUAUUGUACCUUUCUUUGGCGACCAACCAUUCUGGGGUGAGCGGGUGCAUGCUAGAGGGGUAGGGCCUUCGCCUAUACCGGUUGAUCAAUUCACUUUGCAGAAGUUGGUUGAUGCUAUAAAAUUCAUGUUGGAUCCAGAGGUAACUCUACAACUUUUUUGCGCUUGGGCAGAUGAGACUUUUUCUUUUGUUUCAUAUCGCAAAAAUAGAUAACAAGAAUAUGGACGCAGAUGUGCAUAGGUAGGCUGCAGGCAGUGUUGCAGAUAUGGUUAUGAUAUACUGAUAUACUGAUAUACUGAUAAUUACUCCCUCCGUUCCUAAUUGCACUGGUGCAUUUGUAGUUUGGUACCCAGCAGGGUUCCAAAAGCCAGGAAUGGACUGGUUACUGCCAAGAAACAGGAACCGGUCCGUUAAAUUGGAUAGUUAGAAUGUUCAUAUUCAGAUAUUAAGUUCUCAGAUUGGAACAUCUUUGGGACAUAUACACAAAUCAGUACUAAACUAAACUUCCCUGAUUCAGAACUUAUUGUAUGAUCUCCUAUUAGUAAAAUUACAGCAAACAUGUAUUUUCCCCAUGUGAUUUUCAGGUGAAAGAAAAGGCUGUGGAGCUUGCCAAGGCCAUGGAAUCUGAAGACGGCGUAACGGGUGCAGUCAGGGCAUUCCGCAAACACCUGCCCUGUAAAACAGAUGAAAACUCACCCCCACCAACGCACGGCUUUCUAGAGUUCCUAGGCCCAGUAAGUAAAUGUUUGGGGUGCUCUUAGGUGCUGGUCAGAUGCAGGUAUACCAUUCCUCCCUGCUGAACGGAGAGUGUAACAAAAGGCUCUUGGGUGACGCACUAUGCUAUUUCGUGCGAUAAGAAUGUGGAAGCCGAAUGUUAGAAGUUGAUGUACUUGCAUGCGACCAGGAGCCCGCGAUUUAUGGUUCUGCGUUUUUUUGUAUGUGUGUUGUGUAAAGAGUAUUUGUCUGGUGAUUUUAAUACAUCAUUUUGGUGUGGUUGCAACCUUGGCCUGCAGGAACAGAUGAUCCCUCAUGUAUGACCAGGCAACCUGUGUAUAUGGAAAACUUCAGAGUGCAGAUUAGUUCAGCCAAUCCUUUUGCAGUUUACGACAUGGUUUAAUUUGAAACUGCCAAACAUGUCAUGGUUAUAAUUAUGUUUCAAGUUUUUCCUAGCUCUACUACAGGUCUUCAUUUUAAGAUAAAUUAGACACCUGUGACCUCAUGCACAGGGGAAAGUAAUUCUGUCACCCCAGUACUAUUUGUUUUCAGUUCCCAAAAAAUGUGAAAUAGUUCAUGGUU